rnacentral:rRNA from 1 species
CGGGUGAGUAAUGCCUAGGAAUCUGCCUGGUAGUGGGGGACAACGUUUCGAAAGGAACGCUAAUACCGCAUACGUCCUACGGGAGAAAGCAGGGGAUCUUCGGACCUUGCGCGAUUGAAUGAGCCGAUGUCGGAUUAGCUAGUUGGUGAGGUAAUGGCUCACCAAGGCGACGAUCCGUAACUGGUCUGAGAGGAUGAUCAGUCACACUGGAACUGAGACACGGUCCAGACUCCUACGGGAGGCAGCAGCG